GCUAGUAUGGUAGGGUAAAAGCCUGACCAAGGCGACGAUCGGUAGCUGGUCUGAGAGGAUAGACCAGCCACACUGGGCGACUGAGACACGGCCCAGACUCCUACGGGAGGCAGCAAGUGGGGAAUUUUGCCCGCAAUGGGCGAAAGCCUGACGGAGCAAGACCGCGUGAAGGGAGGAAGGCGCUCUUGGGUUGUAAACCUCUUUUCUCUGGGAAGAAGAUCUGAACGGUACCAGGAGGAAUCAGCAUCGGCUAACUCCGUGCCAGCAGCCGCGGUAAAUACGGAGGGAUGCAAGCGUUAUCCGGAAUUAUUGGGCGUAAAGCGUCCGUAGGAUGGCCGGUUCAAGUCUGCCGUUAAAACCAG
rnacentral:rRNA from 1 species